rnacentral:rRNA from 1 species
GCUUAUGAACAAGAGUGCACCCCCUUUUUUAAUCAGUUAAGGGUUUUGGGAUACUUCGGGUUAAGCGUCUUUGGGUUUGAAUAGUACUGGGUUGGGUGACCUCCUGAGAAGUCCAAAUUCAUGAGCU